UACAGCCACAUCACGUUGAAAAACCGGAUCCCGUAUGAUCACCGAAGUUAAGCAACGUCGAGCAUGGUCAGUACAUAGAUGGGUGACCGCUUGGGUAUACCAGGUGCUGUAAG